rnacentral:rRNA from 1 species
AUGCCUGAUCAGAGCAUCAAGCUCGACCUACGCAGCUACCACAGAGCACCUGCUGCCGGGCGUCACCGCAAGCUACUCGAGCCUUCUCCGGGGCCUUCUCCCGCGCCUUCUCCCGAGCCUUCUCAGAGCGAAAACGACGUCGAGGUCGACGUGGCGAGCUACGGAGCCGUCGGCGACGGCCAACAGGACGACACGCCGGCGUUCCGGGAAGCAUGGGCCGCCGCUUGCGCCUCGCCUCAGCCGGCCACCCUCGUGGUCCCCAGGGAGAAGACGUACCUCGUGAAGCACCGGUCGGCAUGGCCCGAGGAGAACAUGAGGUGGUGGAUCAUGUUCCGCAACGUCGAUGGGCUCACCGUGACCGGCGACGGGACCAUCGACGGCAACGGCGAGACGUGGUGGAAGAGCUCGUGCCGUGUGGACAAGAAGCUCAAGCUGCUGCUCAGCAGGUGCAACAACCUCACGGUGGAGAACAUCCAGCUCCUCAACAGCCAGCAGAUCCACAUGUCGGUCGAGGACUGCCGGGACGUGCUCCUCAAGGGCAUCACCAUCACCGCCCCCGGCGACAGCCCCAUGAACGACGGGAUCCACAUUGCUCGCACCAAGGACAUCCAGGUCCUGGAUUGCGACAUUAAAACAGGGGACGACUGCAUGUCCAUCGAGACCGGAACCGAAAACCUCUACGCUUCGAGAAUAACCUGUGGCCCGGGACACGGGAUCAGCAUCGGGAGCUUAGGCGACGACAACUCCGAGGCCCGAGUCUCCAACGUAACAGUCUACAAGGCGCACCUCUCCGGCACGACCAACGGCGUGCGCAUGAAGUCAUGGCAGGGAGGAAAAGGGUACGCCACGGACGUCACGUUCGAGGACAUAACCAUGGAGGAUGUCCAUAACCCCAUAAUCAUCGACCAGAACUACUGCACAUCGCCUAAGUCGUGCAAGAAACAAACUUCGGCAGUGGAGUUCAGCAACAUUCGGUUCAAGGACAUAAGGGGCACGAGCGCGACGAAAGAGGCUAUCAAGCUGGACUGCAGCGACACCGUCCCGUGCCGCGAUAUAUUGUUGCAAGAUGUGAAGCUUACUUUUCAUGACCGUGGGCACAAGCACAAGCACGCUUCCGCAACAAGUGUAUGCAACAACCCAAGCUAA